CCCAAAAUUUUAUAAACACUACAAAGAAUCCCUGCUGCCGCUUUUCAUUAGGGUAUGUAACGAUGCAAGUGUCACAUAAGAAAUUAAAUCUUAUAAAAUAUUAUAAAUAUUUUUUUAAAUUUUUUUAAUUUUAAUACAAAAUAGAGUAGAGAGAAAGAAGAAUCAUAUGACAUAUACAUGAUCAUCAUCUUUUUUUAAUUUUUUAGUCAUAUUUUUUGUUCUCCAUUCUUUACAAAGAAGUGAGAAAAAAGAUGAAA
rnacentral:lncRNA from 1 species